rnacentral:tRNA from 1 species
GGAGGGUUACCCAAGUGGCUGAAGGGGAGGGUUUGCUAAACCCUUAGUAGGAGCAAUCCUAGCGAGAGUUCGAAUCUCUCACCCUCCG